rnacentral:rRNA from 1 species
UACGUAGGUCCCGAGCGUUGUCCGGAUUUAUUGGGCGUAAAGCGAGCGCAGGUGGUCUAUUAAGUCUGGUGUAAAAGGCAGUGGCUCAACCAUUGUAUGCAUUGGAAACUGGUAGACUUGAGUGCAGGAGAGGAGAGUGGAAUUCCAUGUGUAGCGGUGAAAUGCGUAGAUAUAUGGAGGAACACCGGUGGCGAAAGCGGCUCUCUGGCCUGUAACUGACACUGAGGCUCGAAAGCGUGGGGAGCGAACAGG